AGCGUCUGGAAAGGCGAGCGUCUGGAAAGGCGCGCGAUACAGGGUGACAGCCCCGUACACAAAAGCGCAUGUGCUGUGAGCUCGAUGAGUAGGGCGGGACACGUGGUAUCCUGUCUGAAUAUGGGGGGACCAUCCUCCAAGGCUAAAUACUCCUGACUGACCGAUAGUGAACCAGUACCGUGAGGGAAAGGCGAAAAGAACCCCGGCGAGGGGAGUGAAAAAGAACCUGAAACCGUGUACGUACAAGCAGUGGGAGCCCCACCACUAAGCCAGUGGUGAACUCCACAUCCGCAUCCUUUGCUGAGGAUACGGUUAACGGAGCGAAAGCGACGUUCAACCGCAAAACAAGCAGAGGGGGCUUAGUGGUGGGGUGACUGCGUACCUUUUGUAUAAUGGGUCAGCGACUUAUAUUCUGUAGCAAGGUUAACCGWAUAGGGGAGCCGGAGGGAAACCGAGUCUUAAYYGGGCGUUAAGUUGCAGGGUAUAGACCCGAAACCCGGUGAUCUAGCCAUGGGCAGGUUGAAGGUUGGGUAACACUAACUGGAGGACCGAACCGACUAAUGUUGAAAAAUUAGCGGAUGACCUGUGGCUGGGGGUGAAAGG
rnacentral:rRNA from 1 species